CAUCAUUCUUCCUUCGGCUGCUGGGGGUAACAGCAUAGGCUUGAAUGGAGCAGUUGCAUUUCCCUCACCAGAGAUUGGAACUGCUGAACUCACUAUCCUCUUCUCUUCUGGGCCAGGAAGGGCGAGUCUUGCACUGCAGGUGGGAACUUUUGGUGUUUGAAAUAGCCUAGAGAGAGCAGUUGUGCAGCUGAAAUCAAUCCAUACAUAUGCUCGAGCGACAGGGUAAACUGGAACAAUUUAGGAUGUGCUUUAACAAGGAUUAUGUACUACCUAGUUUUCUUUUCCUUA